rnacentral:rRNA from 1 species
CAGUAGCCGCGGGAAUACGUAGGGUGCGAGCGUUAAUCGGAAUUACUGGGCGUAAAGCGUGCGCAGGCGGUUGUGUAAGACAGGUGUGAAAUCCCCGGGCUUAACCUGGGAACUGCGCUUGUGACUGCACAGCUAGAGUAUGGCAGAGGGGGGUGGAAUUCCACGUGUAGCAGUGAAAUGCGUAGAGAUGUGGGGGAACACCGAUGGCGAAGGCAGCCCCCUGGGCCAAUACUGACGCUCAUGCACGAAAGCGUGGGGAGCAAACAGGAUUAGAUACCCCUGUAGUCCCUGUCUCUUAUAC